ACAAAAUGUGGCCGGCGGGGGCCGGGGCGGGGGGAGGCGGGGAGGGAAGCGCCGCUGCCUCGCCAGCCCCGGGCCUGUGACACGGGCGGUUUCGCUGGCAGCGGGUAUAUUUAGCACUUCCCCGAGCCCUCCGUGUGCUCCAGCCGCUUGCGAGCGCUCGGUAAUUAAUUGGCGAGGCUCUCCGCGGUGGUCCCGGGGCUUGUGGUGGCCCCCCCCGGGGUUAAUGGUGGCCCCCCGGGGCUUGCGGUGGCUCCCCGGGGUCGCGGUGGUCCCGCGGCCCCACAGGGCGUUACACCUCAGCCAGCAGACGUAGCGUUGUUAUCUAACAGUGAGACUGGAAACUGGAGUUGUUUGUGUUCUGCUCCGAGUUUCACCCUUACCAAGGUCAGAGAUUUCAUCCUUCUCUAGUUCUUGAUCUGGGCGCUUAAUGCUUGCGGGGGGUCCUAAUUUGUGAGGGCUCAGGAGCCGCCUGGAGCUGUGGCAGGAAUGUGUUAAAUGUCCCCCGCAACGCCCUUCUCCAGACUCCUGCCUGUGCAGAUCUCUGCAGGACCAACAGCUACGGGGUGAAAAUAAUGACUGGGACAGUAAAACAGCCGAGUUCCCUGAAUUUCCUACAGAAAGUGAUGCGUUUGGCAGGACAACAAAAAAAGUGAUGAUUGUAGGAUGUGCUGCUUGUAAUUAGUUGUAAUCAGCGUGGAUGAGGAAGUUUUGCUGUUGACAGUGGUUUAUUUUACGAGCGUUUCAAUCUAAGCAUGUGGCAAAGUUGGUGGGUGAGGGGAGAUGGUCCUGCUCCUGAAUUGGGCUUCACAGCUGAAUUCCAGUCUCCUGUUAUUUGAGAGCUCUUUUUUUGGUAUUAUUAUGUUAGGAAGCAUUAAUGGGGCAUUGCUGAUGUUAUUUUUUUUAUUGUUAUUAUUCUUGCUAGGCUAUAAAUUUGUUACUAAAGCGUAAACAAGAGGAAUGGAGAAACAAAUGGUUUAAAGGGCGUUUAUAGCACCAUUUGUGAGCCGUGAUUUUAUUAACACAUCUCUGCACGUAAGUUGUGCUGAAGCACUAGGUCCUACUGAAGGACGUAAAUCAUGCAAUUAUUUAGCAGGCAAGCAGAGCUGGUAAAUACAAAGAUACUAAAGCAGCCGUAGUAUUUUCCUCUCCUGUCUUUCAAAUUCUUACUUUCUGUCAGCAAAACCUAUGAUGUGCUUACAUGUACUAAAUGCUGUACGACAGUCUUACCUUAACAUAAAACUUAUGAAGUUAGUUUGCUAAUCGUACAGAGAGAUUUUUUAAUUUGUUUUUAAUUUGUGUCAUCAGUGGUCAGAAGCAGCAUUUAGUUGCUGGGUGGGAUGAUGGAGUGAAGGGGGGGGGGGGGAGAGGGGAACCUGGUAAGCAUCCUGCUCAGCUGUUACAAAAUGUCCGAAGUUCUGGCGCUUUGCAUAGAGGGACGUGCUGGUUUGCCUGAUGCUGCACCGAAAGCAAGCAGGCUGCGAGCAGCACGGUGUUGAGCCCGAAGUAAUCCUUUUUAUUUAUUUUUUGGUAGUAUUUUAUUAGUUUAGAUUGAAUAUUGUCUGUGGAGCUUCUCCUGGGGGAAGCUGAGUGCGUGCUCUCGGCUGGAUUUCUUUAAAGAAGAAAAAAAAAGCCCUGAAUCCGGGUUAAUUGAUCUUCAUCUGAAUCGUAGUCAGGUAUAAUUUUGGUGCCAAACAAAUUUUCGGAAAAGAAAAAUGAUAUUUGUAUUUAUAAGUUAACAUUUUAUAUGGAAUAUCCAGAAAAUGUGCUGAUUUGUAUAAUAACUGCAUUCUGUUUAGUUUACUGACUUUCGGUAUAUCCGUAGCAGCUAUCGUAGGAGCUUCUGCAAGCUUAGAUUUCUAAAAUGAAGGCAGAUCCUGGCUUGAUAAACUACAGCGUGCAGAGGAAAUAAAGGAGAAUUAACUGGCAUUCAACUUCUAGCCUCCUGGGGGGGUGGCUGGCCGGCCGGCCGACAUUUGCUUGUUUUUGCCUUGGUUGCUGUUGAUGUCAGCCAUGGAGGUGUUUGUUUCUCUGCGGGUAGAUGCUGGGUGGCAGGAGAUGGUUAAUCCAGGAGCGACGUCUUUGGAGCCGAGCAUACCGUUGUGUUUCACUGCUGGAACUCGGUUGGGGAGAUUUGGAGCUACCCAGCCCGUACUGGGAGCUGUGAAGUCUCCGGAGACUGAAGAUGCAUCUAGCAACGGUGUUUACUUUUAGCAGGAGGGUGAAAAAGGAUUUCUGGCUCUGUUUUCUAAACUGAAAGCACUGUUACGCUUUCAGGUGUCGCUGCUAUGUUACCGGGAGUUCUGCAGUUUGGCAUUUUUAGGGGUGCUCUUCCUCUUAUUUACUUAUUUUUUUUUUAAACUGAUCUUUAAACAUUAAUCUCUUAAUGUCUUCUAUAUAUCAGUGUGUCAUCUGUACUUCCUGGGAGAUCUUUAUAUAAUAACUUCUGUGAUUUCACAGCAAUAACAGAGGCUCCUGGAGCAACCAGGAUUACAUUUAUCCUGUUGAUAAAGAGCAGGAUUCCAGAUCUGUGAAAAGCAGUAGGUAUUUUCUUCUCGGUAAGACAUAAGCAUAAGAAAGACGUAUGUAAGAAAAGCCUGAAUGGAACAGAAACGCUCCAGUCCUGCGGUAUUAAAUACUGUUUAUGUUUUUAGACAGGUGUCAGCGGUGCUGGGAAUUGCAGGCAGUCCGCCACUCGCCUCAGAGCGGCCUUUAAGCUGCCGAGUGCCGUUGCCCUCUGCCGGAGGAGAGCAGAAAUACAGCGCUGCGUGGUGGGCCUGAGCUGCCAGAGCCACCCGAGGGGGCUGGGGGGGCUCUGGGACGCUUUUUUCCUCCUCACUUGUCGCUCCGGCUUCCUUGUCAGCUCAGGUUGAAGCCAGAUUGGCCAGCUCCUUCGCUUUCUGCCUUAUACUGCCCGUGGGCGUCUGGGUGAAGUUGUCGGUAUAAACAGCAGCCAAAUGGCAGACCUGGUGUCACGGGACCUGCAAGUUCUCUGGAGUUUGUUGUCCAGGAGCCACAGCUCAUUCUGAGAGCCUGGGUAGCAAGUUGUGCGCCCUUCCUAUAA